GAUGAAGAACGUAGCGAAAUGCGAUAAGUAAUGUGAAUUGCAGAAUUCAGUGAAUCAUCGAAUCUUUGAACGCACAUUGCGCCCGCCAGUAUUCUGGCGGGCAUGCCUGUCCGAGCGUCAUUUCAACCCUCGAAUCCCUCCGGGGGGUCGGCGUUGGGGACCUCGGGAGCCCCUAAGACGGGAUCCCGGCCCCGAAAUACAGUGGCGGUCUCGCCGCAGCCUCUCCUGCGCAGUAGUUUGCACAACUCGCACCGGGAGCGCGGCGCGUCCACGUCCGUAAAACACCCAACUUCUGAAAUGUUGACCUCGGAUCAGGUAGGAAUACCCGCUGAACUUAAGCAUAUCAAUAAGCGGAGGA
rnacentral:misc_RNA from 1 species